CACUCUUCUUCGGAGUCUUGACAGUGGCUGACGCCUUGUCUAAAACCCUUGGUGGUAACUAUCAAUCACGCAUAGUAAUCUCUGCGAAGGUGGAUAGGUAAACACUGAAAACUUCUU
rnacentral:misc_RNA from 1 species